rnacentral:rRNA from 1 species
GGUACCUUCAAAGGAARGCMCCCGGCYAUACUUCCGUGCCAGCAGCSSCSGUAAUACGUARGGRUGCCAAGCGUWAUYSGGAAUUWCUGGSCGUAAAGCGUGCGCMAGSCGGUUAUGCMAAGACAGAUGUGAAAUCCCCCGGGCUCAACCYYMGRAACUGCAUUUGUKGACUGCAUWGYUAGAGUWCGGKUAGAGGGGGGAUGGAAUUUCCGCGYGUAGCAGUGAAAUGCGUAGAUAUGCGGGRGGAACACCGAUGGCGAAGGCAAUCCCCYGGACCUGUACUGACGCUCAUGCACGRAAGCGUGGGGAGCAAACAGGAUUAGAUACCCCUGGUAGUCCACGCCCUAAACGAUGUCAACUGGUUGUUKGGACGGCUUGCUGUUCAGUAACGAAAGCUAACGCGUGAAGUUGACCCGCCUGGGGAGUACGGCCGCAAGGUUGAAACUCAAAGGAAUUGACGGGGACCCGCMCAAGCGGUGGAUGAUGUGGUUUAAUUCGAUGCAACGCGAAAAACCUUACCUACCCUUGACAUGUCAAGAAUCUUGCAGAGAUGUGAGAGUGCUCGAAAGAGAACUUGAACACAGGUGCUGCAUGGCCGUCGUCAGCUCGUGUCGUGAGAUGUUGGGUUAAGUCCCSCAACGAGCGCAACCCUUGUCAUUAGUUGCUACGAAAGGGCACUCUAAUGAGACUGCCGGUGACAAACCGGAGGAAGGUGGGGAUGACGUCAGGUCCUCAUGGCCCUUAUGGGUAGGGCUACACACGUCAUACAAUGGCCGGUACAGAGGGUUGCCAACCCGCGAGGGGGAGCUAAUCCCAGAAAACCGGUCGUAGUCCGGAUCGCAGUCUGCAACUCGACUGCGUGAAGUCGGAAUCGCUAGUAAUCGCGGAUCAGCUUGCCGCGGUGAAUACGUUCCCGGGUCUUGUACACACCGCCCGUCACACCAUGGGAGCGGGUUCUGCCAGAAGUAGUUAGCCUAACCGCAAGGGGGGSGAUUACCACGSCAGGGUUCGUGACUGGGGUGAKGUSGUAACAAGGUAGC